AAUAAAUCAACUUUCCAGAUUUUAGAUACAAUGUUUGAGUCUUCGUCUUAUUUAAAAAAUCUUAUGAUUAAUAUUUUUUAUUGUUUUUAGAUGAUAAAAUAUGAAUAGCAUUUUACACGUGACUAUUUUUUAUUUUUUAAUAAAAUUUUCAAAUAAGAUAGAUGGUCAAACGCUCGACACAAAAACCAAAAAAUGCUCUCUCU
rnacentral:pre_miRNA from 1 species